GGAAAUUAGGAGACCUACUUUUGGCCUUCAGCUCUUCUGUUCACUCUUUGGAACUCAGUAAGAAUGAGAAGAUAACAUUUGAAUCUGCUAAAUCUCUUCUAGCUCAGCAAUUAUGUAAUAACUACCAGUAAGGCUUUUAUUUCCUCCUUGCUACCCUAGUACUAACCUAUUUUAAGGUCCUAAGAAAAGAAACUCUCCCUGCAUUGACUCACUUCUCUUCUGGUCAUGGAUGAAGCAGCAGAAGAGAGGUUGCAAGUCCUUCCUGACCUGUCUCUCGCCAGUCUCUUCAGUUUUAUGACAGACUAUGCAAAAAUGGCCAUCACAAAGGGAGUGAUGCUUCACUCACUCCCUUUGUGAUGCAGUUUUUGGGGGUCUUUUCAUCAAGAAGAAACAAAGUCUCUUUCUCCUCCUGUUGAAUCUGGACUGGCCUUAUGACUUGCUUUGAUAUUUGCUCUGUGAUAGAACUUGGCAAGAAUGAUGGUGUGUCAGUUCUUAGGUUAGACCUCAAGAGAUGUGGUUGCCUCUGCUCUCCCUGGGGCCCUACUCGGUCACCAAGCUGGACCAACCUACUGGAAGAUGAGAGACCACAAAGAGCAGAGACGAGUAACUCAAAGGCUCCAGACAUGUUAGGGGGCCUGGGACUUUGCACUUCUGCCUGGAAUGUUCUUCUUCAGAUCUUCGCAUGUUUGGCCCUUUUGUGUGUGUGAGAGUCAGGUGUCAUCUUAAAGGUCACCUCUUUGGAGAUGCUUUCCCUGACCAUCAUAACCUAGUUACAAUGUACCAUAAUUCCGUCCUAAUUGUACCACCUGCGUAUCUUC